rnacentral:rRNA from 1 species
AAGAACCAUGAUGUCAUUAGUUUGGUGUCUUGGGAAUCAGGACUGUACUUUGAAAAAUUAGAGUGUUAAAGCAAGCUAACGCUUGAAUACAUUAGCAUGGAAUAAUGAAAUAGGACGUUCGAUCCUAUUUUGUUGGUUUCUAGGAUUGACGUAAUGAUUAAUAGGGAUAGUUGGGGGCAUUAGUAUUCAAUUGUCAGAGGUGAAAUUCUUGGAUUUAUUGAAGACUAACUACUGCGAAAGCAUUUGCCAAGGAUGUUUUCAUUAAUCAAGAACGAAAGUUAGGGGGAUCGAAGACGAUCAGAUACCGUCGUAGUCUUAACCAUAAACUAUGCCGACUAGGGAUCGGAUGAUGUUAAUUUUUUAAUGACUCAUUCGGCGCCUUACG